GCAGAGUAAAUAAUCGUGCGUUAAGUGCCUAGUGAACGGGGAGUUGUCACUAAGACGAAAAGCAUACGCUUGCGGUACGAUUAUUGCAUCCCGCUGC
rnacentral:ncRNA from 1 species